rnacentral:rRNA from 1 species
CACGGGGGGAGCAAGCGUUGUUCGGAAUCACUGGGCGUAAAGGGCGUGUAGGCGGUCAGGUAAGUGAGACGUGAAAUGCCCCGGCUUACCCGGGGACCUGCGUCUCAUACUGCUUGGCUUGAGUACGGGAGAGGGUGUGGGAAUUCCUGGUGUAGCGGUGAAAUGCGUAGAUAUCAGGAGGAACACCGGUGGCGAAGGCGACUACCUGGCCUGUUCUUGACGCUGAGGCGCGAAAGCUAGGGGAGCAAACGGG